UCAGUAGGACAAACUCUCCCUCGCUCUGCUUUCAUUCCUUCAGUAGGUUAAACUCUCCCUCGCUCUGCUUUCAUUCCUUCAGUAGGACAAACUCUCCCUCGCUCUGCUUUCAUUCCUUCAGUAGGACAAACUCUCCCUCGCUCUGCUUUCAUUCCUUCAGUAGGUUAAACUCUCCCUCGCUCUGCUUUCAUUCCUUCAGUAGAUUAAACUCCCUCGCUCUGCUUUCAUUCCUUCAGUAGGUUAAACUCUCCCUCGCUCUGCUUUCAUUCCUUCAGUAGGACAAACUCUCCCUCGCUCUGCUUUCAUUCCUUCAGUAGGACAAACUCUCCCUCGCUCUGCUUUCAUUCCUUCAGUAGGACAAACUCUCCCUCGCUCUGCUUUCAUUCCUUCAGUAGGACAAACUCUCCCUCGCUCUGCUUUCAUUCCUUCAGUAGGUUAAACUCUCCCUCGCUCUGCUUUCAUUCCUUCAGUAGAUUAAACUCCCUCGCUCUGCUUUCAUUCCUUCAGUAGGUUAAACUCUCCCUCGCUCUGCUUUCAUUCCUUCAGUAGGACAAACUCUCCCUCGCUCUGCUUUCAUUCCUUCAGUAGGACAAACUCUCCCUCGCUCUGCUUUCAUUCCUUCAGUAGGUUAAACUCCCUCGCUCUGCUUUCAUUCCUUCAGUAGAUUAAACUCCCUCGCUCUGCUUUCAUUCCUUCAGUAGGUUAAAAUCUCCCUCGCUCUGCUUUCAUUCCUUCAGUAGGACAAACUCUCCCUCGCUCUGCUUUCAUUCCUUCAGUAGGUUAAACUCUCCCUCGCUCUGCUUUCAUUCCUUCAGUAGGACAAACUCUCCCUCGCUCUGCUUUCAUUCCUUCAGUAGGACAAACUCUCCCUCGCUCUGCUUUCAUUCCUUCAGUAGGACA